AAGCAAAGCCGCGAGGCGGAGCGAACCUCGAAAAAGACGUCCCAGUUCAGAUUGCAGGCUGAAACUCGCCUGUAUGAAGUCGGAAUUGCUAGUAAUCGCGGAUCAGCAUGCCGCGGUGAAUACGUUCCCGGGCCUUGUACACACCGCCCGUCACACCAUGAGAGUUGGCAACACCCGAAGUCAGUAGCCGAACCGCAAGGAGGGCGCUGCCGAAGGUGGGGUUGAUGAUUGGGGUGAAGUCGUAACAAGGUACC
rnacentral:rRNA from 1 species